UACGUAGGGGGCAAGCGUUGUCCGGAAUCAUUGGGCGUAAAGAGCGCGUAGGCGGUCCGAUAAGUCGGUUGUGAAAACUGGGGGCUCAACCCUCAGAGGCCGACCGAUACUGUCGGGCUAGAGUCCGGAAGAGGAGUGUGGAAUUCCUGGUGUAGCGGUGAAAUGCGCAGAUAUCAGGAAGAACACCAAUGGCGAAGGCAGCUCUCUGGGACGGUACUGACGCUGAGACGCGAAAGCGUGGGGAGCGAACAGG
rnacentral:rRNA from 1 species